AAUAUUGAAUGAAAAUUAAAAACAAAAUACAUACAAACCUUUCUUUAUUCUGAAUACAAAAUAGGACUCAUGGGAAUACAAAGUAGUGUUGUUCCAUGCAUUAUUAAAUAGAGUGGAGACUCACCGUAUGGAAGAUAAAUCCGCAGAAUUAGAUUGGAUUUUACAACAAGCUUUCAAACAUGAUUACACUAGAAAUUGUAUCCUUAAACUUUGGGAGCCAAUGCAAAACAAAGUGAAAAAUAAGUUAGAAAGUACAGAUGAACUUAAGGAGACAUUUAAAGUAGAAUUAAAACCACUCAUAUUAAAACAUAGGGAAAAAAACUUUAGGAAAAAGAAGGAACACAAUGAUCAAUUGUUUGAGGAAUGAUAAAGAUCAGAUAGAUAAAAAUCAAGUCCUGGGUGUGUAUCAGAUCGAAUUUAAUAACAUGGAUUUACAACAAAAACAAUUUUAUAUAUGAUACACCUCAUGCACACUUCCUAAAAGAAUUUUAGAAUACAAAUACGACCUAGAAAAAGAGAAAAACACUAAUGUUUUGGC
rnacentral:lncRNA from 1 species